CAGGAAUUGAAUUUGAUACCCAAUGCGCUACAUGAUUUUAGGCCCGAUUUUCACUUGCUGACCAUUUUAUGAAGAUCAUCAGGUGGAGGCUGCAAAUAUGUGGAUGCCUGAGAUGUCUGGUGAAUACAUCCACUCCACUGUGUGUUUGUACAGUGACCCGAGGUCAACUACAAUGGAGUGAUUUCCCAAUCCUAUAUCCUCCUCAUUCUUCACCUCCUCCCAUCCCUUCCUGUCUAACUUUAUUAAGAGAGAGGUCAAGAAAAAAAAAAAGAAGAAGAAAAAAAAAAGAGUAGUUUAAGCUCCUAAAUAUAAAGCUUAUGUAACACACCCAGUAUGGAUUUAAAUGAACUUUCUGAAUCAUUAUAAUAAGCAAGUGCUGUCCAGUGACAAUUGUUUUUCAGUGUGAGUACUUCAUCUGGCUCACAUCAGUUCAUAAGUAAAAUGUAAAGCAGUAACAUGUAAACUUCUGUUGUCUAAAACAAGAUGACUGCAUAUGAGAGCCCUUAUCCUUAUGUGCUCAGAAGUAUGACUCACUUUCCCUAAAAUGGCCCUCAUUGUUUAAGAACUAUAAACACAAUAUCUCCAAGCCUCAAAUGUAUAAAGCAAAAUUAAACACAUUUAAAAACAA